GCAGCAAAAGCGGCAAAUUGUCUUGCAAAACAGCGCGCAGAGUUGGAGAGAGCAGACGACGGCCCAGAAUUUUGAAGCGUGUCUUGUUUUUGGGGGGGAGUUUUCGGAUGGCCCGUUGCUGGCGUCGGUCCCCGUUUCGGUAUUCGUUCUUUCUGCUUUUGCCUAAAGGCCAGACUCAUUGCCUUCCUCGUUACUUGCUUUAUUAACGCGCUAUGGGAAUUCAAAAAACAACAAAAAAAACCCAACCACCACCAAACCAACGCAACGCAACCCCAACGAAACCUGACAAAGCAGCACUCCGCGCAAAUCAGAGCGCGACGUUCCAGCUGGCAACCUCACCGGGAAGACGAUGCCGCCUGGCGGGGGUGGAUCCCGCCCGGUCCGCGGAGGAGGAGAGAGGAACGACUGUCCCUCCAGCUCCGGCUCCUCCGCUCCCACCUGCCGCCUCGAAAACAAUCGUCGUUUCCACGUUAUGACACUCACCAGACACGUCCCGCCGCUCACGCUGUCUGAGCCUCUUCUGAGGCUCCGUGCAGCGUUUCCUGAUUAAUUAUAUUUAGUUCUGAUGAUGAUGUUUGCCUAAACCCCGCUAGCAAAGCGACCAGCACCGACUCCUCUCUCAGCCCCGGACCGGAUCCCGGCGUCACGACGCGUCAGCCCCCGGCGAAGGCGGACGCCACGCCACGCGCCCGAUUGCUACCGCGUCCGCCUCGACACGCCGGAUUCCCAAAGUUUUGACCCAAAUUGCAGCGUCACCUCCCGUCGGCAGAUUAUAACCACCUGGAGCAUCCCGCGUCGCAGCGGGGGUCUGCCCUCCGGCCCGGCCGACAGCCCCCGUCCCCGGACGGGGAGCGCAGAUGGGUAUUCACUCACCGGCGCGGGCGCCCACCAGGUCCCCCGUUAGGGCGGCCAAGGCUUUGCUCUCGGAGGCGGCCGGUCGGAGCAGGCGAAGCCCAGGCGGAGCGGCAGGCGCCGGGGCUUUCUAGGAAAUCUCAACGAGGAGAACUCCCGCUGUCGGCACCGCCACAACCCCCUGCUCUCGGAGGAAGCCGGGAGCGCAGAUGGCUACAGGCAGAGAAUAAAUAUUUCAUUAAGUCCGAGGUGAGGGUUUUUUCCUUAUGUGCAGGUUUGCUGGCUGCCGCUUUGGCAACUGCUCCCCCUUCCGACAGCCUCUUUCUUCCAGGAAUUACUGCAAUUAUUUUUGUCAUCCCCAAACAAGUUAACCCCUUCCCGCGCAGCGCAGCGUUCGGAGGCAGCCAGAAGGUCGCUCCGCGCGUAGCAAAGCCCGUUUGUCUCACUGCCGCGCCGUGACAGUUUGCGCGACGCGGCGGAGCUGUUGCCACGUGUCGUUCUCUUGCUGCUGUCCUCCGGCUCAUGUCGUCACUUUUCUGUUUACCUCUUUUCAACAAAAUAAACGUCAACGCAGGGGAAAAAAAAAAAACCCAAAAAACAGAGGGACUUUCUCAGUGGUUGCUGGCAUCCUGGCGGAGGCAGAACGGGCAUAGUCUCAUCCGAGCUGAUCCUUUGCAACUUUUGAUUAAAAUCACGUUUACCAUCGGUCACAAUCGCAUCUAUUUCCAUCUCGCGCGCACCUGACGCCUGGGCAUCGUUGUUUGUUACUCCGACGAUGAGCUUUUUUCUUUAUUCUUUUUUUUAAGGAUACGCAACAGAACAAGGUUUAGCUCAUUUUUAUUUUUCCAGGUAAACGGUGGCUAGAAGGGAACGACGCUCAGCUGCGAGUUGGGCGGUGUCCGGAGAGGGGAAAGCACCCCCGAAACGGGCAUCAGGUGCCUCCUGCUUGCGAACCACAGGGAACCCUGGAGAAGGUAACUCUCACUUGCUCAUAUUCCCUCCUCUGCCCGGAGGUUUGGUAAGGAGAAAAGAAAAGAAAAAAAAAAGGAAAUAAAGGAGAGAAACCUUCAGCUCUUCGGCAAUCCGCUCGGCUCCACCUCUCCCGCUCCUCUCCGCCUGGGAGAGCUCCCCGUUUCGGGACGCGUCGCCUCACUCUGGCCCUGCUUUCGACAGGAGCGAGGGGAAAAGUACCUCCUGGAUGGGGUCCUCAGCGCUACGCGGGAAUAGAGCUCCCUGCAAAACGUCUUCCAACACGGGUUGCAUCCCGCAGACGAGCUUUGCAGGAACCGCGCAGGCUUUAUGAGACGACAAGAAUCCCGGCAAACUCUCAUCCAUCGACCUUCGUUAAGGGUUGGCUCGUGGUUAGUGGCACCGGAUCGUCCUCCGCACAGCAGCUUUCCUAGACCUUAGAGUGAUUUGUACACACCAUGCUAAUGAACCUGGCCUCAUCAGUAUGCCCGGCUGUCAAUUAAGCAGCUUGCAAGGCCACUGCUUGCUGCUUUGGAACGUGCAGUGGUGGUUGCAGUCGGAAGAUAAAAGAAUUAAUAACUAAAUCCAAUUUAAAUAUCAAACAACAAAAGUAAAGGAAAGUGAUUUACAGGACGGUUUACCUUCAAAACCCCAAAUUCCUGGGGAUAAUGAUCUAAGUUGCACUUCCCAUCCUACUUCUGAAAGAACAAGGAUUACAGGAGAGCAGUUAUACUUACACGAGUCGUUCUGAGGAACGAGCUAAGCCACUUUCCGACACGCAAAGUUCAAUGCUCUGUUUUUAGCGUCGCUCUAAUGUCGCGCUUGAAACGCUCCAGGCUCUGCCCCAGGAGAAUUAAACACAAGCUCACAAUGCCAAUUCCUCCUCGGGAACGUCGCUUGCUGCAGUUUCUCCUCCAGAUUACCCCCUCACGCACGCAUACGAGACACCAUUUGACACUCUUUAAGCCAAAAUUACAUUUUCUGCUUGAAGAAGCUCAUUAAUGUCCGUUUUCCCACCUGAGCAGGGAUGGCAGGAUUUCUUGCUGUGCUGCGCUAUGCUCUUUGCAAGCCAGAAAGACAAGAAAACGUCUGUGCAUUUCUCUUGUCGGGGCUGUUUUGGGGUGCAAGCGGAAAAGAGCAGGACGGAGUAUCCUCCUCUUCCCCUGGCAUGAAGGAUGCAGCUUUAUUUGCUCUGUAUUUCCAGCCAGGGUUGUCCGAUUGCAGAGCUAACUUUUCUAAACCACCCCUGGUUGACUUGUGGCAGGGCUGUUCAAAUGGGGAUGUACCGGAUCGUUUUAUGUCCGAUCAUUCACCUAAAAACUCAAGUCACUGGUAUACCAAAGCAUUCAAGGAUACAUGCCAAAUAAUCUUACCCGUGCUGAAUUCUGCAGCAAAAUGCAUUUGCAGGAAGAGGAAAUGGUUGAGCGAUGCUGAUUAAAAGCACCAGAGCUGCCACCACCGAGCGCAGAGGCCAUCCACGCAGUCACUAGCGGGACUUUCUGGAGGAAGGACCGUUCCUGGGCCUCAAACAGCGCUGAUAUCUCCUGUCUGCGGCCCCAGGCCGCAACAGCAACCCCGAACCCAUGUGCUACUGCACACCUGGCAGAGCCUGGUACAAAAUGUUUUAGUAAUGUUUACAGGGGAUUUAUUAAAACUGGGUGUUUUAAGUUACCUUUGAGAGAUUUUGGGCUCUUUCUUUAGAAACACUGAUUAGAAGCAUUGAAAUCAAUACAAAUAAAAGCAUGAAUCCAAAGGGGAUUAGUUAAACCCCACUGAGUCUCCAGCUGGGGCUUCCUCACUCCCAAUUAAGUCAUGUUGAUUCAAUUUACCUCAAUUUACUUUAGAAGUGAACUCAGGUGCAGUGAACUGCAAAUGCACUGAGCCCCUGGGUAGACACUCAUGAGGGAUUAAUAUAGUUGAAUGGAGCCACCAGAAAAGUCAUUUAGGUUGAAAUUUUCAGAACAUCCCCACCUAAUCAAGUCCCUUGUGUAGCCAAGAACAAACCCUGGUAGUUCCUUGAGCCUCCUGCUGUGACCUGCUUUAGGGCCCAGCUCACGGCCUUCUCCACCAGCCCGGGGAAAGCUCGAAGCCUGGCACACGCGUAUCCACGCAGCAGACAUGAGCAGCUCCGUGUGCUAAUGCUUAGAGCAUCCUCGGGUAUUUAGGACUUAUACACAUGCUAUACGAUGUAUUCUACUUACCUUAAAUGUAAGAGCUACAAUAUAAACAAGUGCAAACAGUA